GCCUGGGUGGCUCAGUCGGUUGAGCAUCCGACUUCAGCUCGGGUCAUGAUCUCACGAUCCGUGAGUUCGAGCCCCGCUUCGGGCU
rfam:Felis catus isolate Cinnamon breed Abyssinian chromosome A3, whole genome shotgun sequence.